rnacentral:tRNA from 1 species
GCCGGUUUAGCUUAGUGGUAGAGCGUCAAUCUUGAAAACUGAAGGUCGGUGGUUCGAUCCCGCUAACCGGCU